CACCUCCGGGCCUGGCUCCAGAGGGGGGCCCCGGUGACCCGCGUCCGGGCGAGGGAAAUCUGGGUCCAUGGUUUUUCAUCUUCAUAAAGGUCUUCGAGCUGCUCUUUGUCUGAUCCCUCACCUAGAACCUGUUUGCCUUGGGAGACCCUACCAGGGGGCUUUAUGCCCCCGGACAACAUAGCUCCUAGGAUCAUUGGGACACGCAAACUCCUCUACCACGAUAAGGUUGCAGCUCAGAGAGGAGUACUAUCAAAGUAUCAACAUUUUGAUUUGAAAAUCAAUUUUAGAGCAUUAAGAUCUGGCACUCCUUUUAUUGACAUUCAAGUAUCAUUCCGCACAUAUUAACUACUCUGAAGUUGCCAAGUAUUCAUGGGUGGACGAUCCACCUCCAGCUACACGGUCACCUGGCCGCCGGAGCUACAUCCGUCCUACUGGUCUCUUUUUGAUAACAAGGUAAUUCCCGUGCAAUCAAAGUCAUUAGUACCUUGAUGUUUCAUUUUCUGUUAGAAUUGCUUUAUAUACAUAUAUUUAUAAAGUACGAAAUUACAUAGCGUCACAGUCAGCAUCACAUGUACCGCCGCAUGCUACCUAGCUAAGUUUUCGUCAUUUUUGUCAGAGUGAUAAUAAAAAAAAAGAUAUUAACUUGCAACAUAUGUGCUACGACUUGAAGCAAUGUGUUUGCGUAUGUUAGACACAUGCAGAGUCAUAGUUUUAUGCCCAAUGCAUCGUUUAAGUGUGCUUUCCCUGAAUGAGUAUAGCUGUAUUUGAGAAAAAAAGCUAUGAACCAUAAUGUUCAGUCCACCCUUCCUGUGUAUGAAGAUGGGGAGUUGACUCUUCAUAUCAUCCAGCUGUUGAUGGCCUAUUUUGAUGAAAGAAGAGGUGCACUGAUACUCCUUGCAGAUAUGUCUGCCACUGCAGGCGAUGUGGAGCGGACACUGACCCUCCCGACCAGUCCACGACUGAUACUGCUAGUUGCUGGUGACAAAUUCACAGUAAAACGUUGGAUGAUCAGCAUGGAAGGUGAUGUCAUCUGCGAAGGCGUCCAACCUAGCUUCAACUAAGGGCUUGCUGCCCUUCUUGCCACCUACUAUGUGUUCAAUUUGGAAUACCAAGAGGAAGGUGCUCGGACAUUGGAAUUUGUUCAAAGGCGAUUCAUUGGCAUUAACCCUGAGAGGGGAACAAAGGCUAGCCAGGGAAAGGUGGUGUCCAAGAAGACCGGGAAGCUGGUCCAGAAAAAGGCAGCAACUGUAAAUCCUCACGUAGCCACCCUUAUAAAAAUUCUCACAGACUUUGGUGGGGCUUUAUGUUGCCCGACCACUGAACACUGGGUAUGUCAUGUUCAGUUAGUUUAGUCAAUUGUGCAGUUCAGUUUUGUUUUACAAUUUUUUCUAUUGCACAUGAUCCCAACUUGUUUUGUUCUAAAUGUUAAAAUGUUCUUUGAAAAUGUGUGUGCCCUCUCUGACGGUGAAGCAGAAGUACUAUGUAUGGAGGUGUGUGUGGGGGGGAUGUUUACAUCAUAUCCAAAUGGACAUUUUCAUUUUGAUCGUUUUGAUUGUUAUCUGGAUGUAGGAACCACGUUCUCUGAUGCCAUCGUUUGUUCCAAUUGCAGGAGUUGCUUAACAUUGUUUUAAAUGUUAAAAUGUUAAUUCAAAAUGUGUGUGGUCUCUCGGAUGGUGCAACAGAGGCACUAUGUUUGGGGGUGUGGGUGUGUCCUGGUGGGAGGAUAUCUAACUGGACGUUUUCAUUUUGAUUAUCUAGUUCUAUGGACUGUUCUGAUGCUAAAGUUGCUUAACAUUGUUCUAAAUGUUAAAAUGCUUCACAGAAAAAAAGAAGAAUGCACUAAAUGUACAUUGAAUGUGUUUGA